AGCCAUGCAUGUCUAAGUAUAAAUAGUAUACAGUGAAACUGCGAAUGGCUCAUUAAAACAGUUAUAGUUUAUUUGAUAAUUGACACUUACAUGGAUAACCGUGGUAAUUCUAGAGCUAAUACAUGCUUAAACGCCCGACUUUAUGGAAGGGUGGUAUUUAUUAAACUGAAGCCAAUAUUCCUUGUGUCUAUUGCGGUGAUUCAUAAUAACUGAUCGAAUCUCUUUUUGAGAUAAAUCAUUCAAGUUUCUGCCCUAUCAGCUUUCGAUGGUAGUGUAUUGGACUACCAUGGCAUGAACGGGUAACGAAGAAUUAAGGUUCGAUUNCGGAGAGGGAGCCUGANAAACGGCUACCACAUCUAAGGAAGGCAGCAGGCGCGUAAAUUACCCAAUCCUGACUCAAGGAGGUAGUGACAAGAAAUAACAAACCGGGAACCUCAUGGUUUCACGGUAUUGCAAUGAGAACAAUUUAAAACCCUUNNCGAGAAUCAAGUGGAGGGCAAGUCUGGU
rnacentral:rRNA from 1 species